rnacentral:lncRNA from 1 species
UGGACGAGGAUGAUAUCAUGGAGUCAGGAGAAAGGCUUGUUGGAAGUAGAAUAUAAUGAGGCAAUGUUAUGUUCUUUUUUCUAUUAAUUAACUUUACAGUGAUAUGUGUAGAAAGCCUGAAAGUGUAGGCCAUACCAAGGUUGAUGACAUCAAAAUGAUGUAAACAAUUAUCCAUCUCUUGAUUCGUCAGAUUGCUCAUACAGUAUUGAUUCAUUGCAGAUCUGAAAUUUGGAAAAGGCAAUAUUAAUCUUCCCCACUAAAUGGUUGUAUUAUGCCCCCAGUAUCAAUGAGUCCUGGUUUACAAAGUAAGCAGUCACCCUAAGUUUUUUUCAUUCCUUCGGUAGUUGUGGAUGCAAUACAGUAGCUCAGGGACAAAAGCCAGUCCAUUAGUUCAGGCAAAAAAGGCAAUCAAUUAGAGCUGGCGCAACAUUCCUAUUUGUAGGUUUUAUAUCAUACUGUUUCUGUAAAUUGUCAAUAAAUUGAAUUAAAUUCAAUACAUGACAUAAUUUGAUUGCCACCUGAUUUGUGUUAAAAUUUUAACUCAAGCACCAUUGUACUAUUUGCAAUAAUAUAUUAGGAUUAGUAAAAUAUCAGGUAAAUAUAUAGUUGAUACCAUUGUUCUUUCAACCCCCUUACGAAAAUUCAGUUCUAGCUCCAAAGCGGGCAGUUGAAUUAGUACUUAUAAUGAAGGUACCAAUGGUUAGCUAAAAUUGAUAGAAAAUAUUUUUUUUAUGUGUUCACCUCAAACCUGCAUCUGAUCUUGUUCUAUAGUGCCUUUAUCUGAGAUUAUAUUCUGAGUGUACAGGAAAAUGAAAAAGCUAUCAUGUGAACUUUAGUAUGGCCAUGAAUAGUGGUGCUUCCUCUCUCCUACCUGGCUAAUUUAUUUUAUUUUUAUCUGUUGUAUUACACAAUUAAACAAUUAUAUAUACCAUCUGCAGAGGUAUUCGUUCACAUUUGAAACAUAUAGUUCUAUUUUUUUAGAAAUUAUAUGAGUAUGAAUGGAAAUAAGGUGUUAGUCUCAGGAGCACUAUGAAUUCUUUCAAAAGUACAAAAGCUACUGCAAUAGAAACACAAAACAAACAUUAUGUACUUGUUCUAAGGAAAGUAAUUCGUUUAUUUCAUUCGGCUAGUUUGUAAGUACAUGAUUCAGAAAGGAUAAAUUACUGACAGUUUCUGACUAUUUUUCUCCCAUAUUCAGGAGUCGGACUCACAGACGUUGAUCCAAGCACUCAAUGCCGGUGAUUUUUAUGUGGCGGAUUAUGGUGUACUACCUCAUAAUGUGAGGAGUACCUGCAUGGCGACCGUCUGAUAGGCAUGAGUGUAUGUUUUGCUGUUUUCAUGUAAUUCUGUUGCCCAUGCCAUAGCGAAAUUUGGGUACCAUUCGGCUACGG